rnacentral:rRNA from 1 species
UACGUAGGGGGCGAGCGUUGUCCGGAUUUAUUGGGCGUAAAGAGCUCGUAGGCGGUUUGGUAAGUUGGAUGUGAAAUCUCCAGGCUCAACUUGGAGGGGUCAUUCGAUACUGCCAUGACUAGAGUUCGGUAGGGGAGUGUGGAAUUCCUGGUGGAGCGGUGAAAUGACGCAGAUAUCAGGAGGAACACCCGUAGCGAAGGCGGCACUCUGGGCCGGAACUGACGCUGAGGAGCGAAAGCGUGGGGAGCGAACAGG